UCUCUUCGGUCCUGACACUGCCAGCGCUUGGCUCUCCGGCCCCCGGUGAUAUUUGUUUGGGCUUUUUUUUUUUUUUUUUUUUUGGUGGCAGAGUCUUUUGGAGGCUUGGCGCCGGCGGCGGACAGAUUGUGUUGUGAGCGCGUGCAAAGGAGCGAGGGGUCGGAGAGAAUAUGGAUCGUGAGUCAUCCGUGGCUGCUGCUCGUCGAAGGAGCUGCUCGGCGCUCACCUACACGUCUUUCUGGGGAUGUUUUUCAAUCAAGCCUACAACACUCAGACUGUACACAUCUUCUACUGUUGACCGGCAGCCAAGAGGAUCUAAAAGGCCUUCGGUGCUAAUAAUAAUAACCAUAUGUGGAGAGACGGCGGGCGAGGACAAACAGCGGUCCUGACCAAGAUGGCGGCCAGGAGGCGAAGCAUGCAGCAGAACGGAGAGGCGGGGCACACCUGGAGCGACACUGGAGCCAUCAGAGUCAGGUGCAUAUACACCACACUUGUCUCAAUCCCUGCAUCUUCUGCUGCAGCAUAAAAGGGGAGAGGGAGGAGCAAUCGUGGCAGAAGUAGGAGAGGAAACAACCGGCAACAAAGACCAUAAAAGUGACCCAGAGCGAGAUGCCACCCCGCGGAAGACGCAGCCACCGGCCACCGAAAGGCGCGCCGCGACGAGCAGGAAAGGAGAGUGUGCUAGAAAUUGGCACGAUCGACUGGCAGGAAAACUUGUUUGUUGAAACAAUAAACGGGAGUCAAACCUGCUAUCAUGUGUCCUGCAUCGAUGGUCACUGCGACCCACACGAUGACCACAGGAGACCUGUCACACCAUAAUAACGUUUUAUUUUAUUAAAUGUGCUUUUCAUGAUGGUAUCCUUACAUCACACUCAAUUUUUUAUUGCAUGCCAUUGGUAAGGGCAGGGGUGAGAAGAGGUUUUAAAAUUAUUAGCGCCUGCUUACUUUUACCGCAUGCCUUGAAUAAGCGCAGGAGUGAGAAGAGGUUUGAAAUUCAUUAGCGCCCCGGCGGCUAUUCAAGGAAAUACGGUAUAUUUGCUGGA